rnacentral:rRNA from 1 species
CGAACGCUGGCGGCGUGCUUAACACAUGCAAGUCGAACGGAAAGGCCCUGCUUUUGUGGGGUGCUCGAGUGGCGAACGGGUGAGUAACACGUGAGUAACCUGCCCUUGACUUUGGGAUAACUUCAGGAAACUGGGGCUAAUACCGGAUAGGAGCUCCUGCUGCAUGGUGGGGGUUGGAAAGUUUCGGCGGUUGGGGAUGGACUCGCGGCUUAUCAGCUUGUUGGUGGGGUAGUGGCUUACCAAGGCUUUGACGGGUAGCCGGCCUGAGAGGGUGACCGGCCACAUUGGGACUGAGAUACGGCCCAGACUCCUACGGGAGGCAGCAGUGGGGAAUAUUGCACAAUGGGCGGAAGCCUGAUGCAGCAACGCCGCGUGCGGGAUGACGGCCUUCGGGUUGUAAACCGCUUUCGCCUGUGACGAAGCGUGAGUGACGGUAAUGGGUAAAGAAGCACCGGCUAACUACGUGCCAGCAGCCGCGGUGAUACGUAGGGUGCGAGCGUUGUCCGGAUUUAUUGGGCGUAAAGGGCUCGUAGGUGGUUGAUCGCGUCGGAAGUGUAAUCUUGGGGCUUAACCCUGAGCGUGCUUUCGAUACGGGUUGACUUGAGGAAGGUAGGGGAGAAUGGAAUUCCUGGUGGAGCGGUGGAAUGCGCAGAUAUCAGGAGGAACACCAGUGGCGAAGGCGGUUCUCUGGGCCUUUCCUGACGCUGAGGAGCGAAAGCGUGGGGAGCGAACAGGCUUAGAUACCCUGGUAGUCCACGCUGUAAACGGUGGGUACUAGGUGUGGGGUCCAUUCCACGGGUUCCGUGCCGUAGCUAACGCUUUAAGUACCCCGCCUGGGGAGUACGGCCGCAAGGCUAAAACUCAAAGGAAUUGACGGGGCCCCGCACAAGCGGCGGAGCAUGCGGAUUAAUUCGAUGCAACGCGUAGAACCUUACCUGGGUUUGACAUGGAUCGGGAGUGCUCAGAGAUGGGUGUGCCUCUUUUGGGGUCGGUUCACAGGUGGUGCAUGGCUGUCGUCAGCUCAUGUCGUGAGAUGUUGGGUUAAGUCCCGCAACGAGCGCAACCCUUGUUCACUGUUGCCAGCACGUUAUGGUGGGGACUCAGUGGAGACCGCCGGGGUCAACUCGGAGGAAGGUGGGGAUGACGUCAAGUCAUCAUGCCCCUUAUGUCCAGGGCUUCACGCAUGCUACAAUGGCUGGUACAGAGAGUGGCGAGCCUGUGAGGGUGAGCGAAUCUCGGAAAGCCGGUCUCAGUUCGGAUUGGGGUCUGCAACUCGACCUCAUGAAGUCGGAGUCGCUAGUAAUCGCAGAUCAGCAACGCUGCGGUGAAUACGUUCCCGGGGCUUGUACACACCGCCCGUCAAGUCAUGAAAGUUGGUAACACCCGAAGCCGGUGGCCUAACCGUUGUGGGGGAGCCGUCGAAGGUGGGACUGGUGAUUAGGACU